UGCGAGGGCAUACAGUCCUCGCUUUUCUGUACCGUAGGGUGGUACAGGAACAAGUGCUGGGCAAGACCGGUGCCAGCCGCCGCGGUAAUACCGGCAGCACGAGUGAUGGCCGAUAUUAUUGGGCCUAAAGCGUUCGUAGCUGGCCGGACAAGUCCGUUGGGAAAUCCACGUGCCUAACACGUGGGCGUCCAGCGGAAACUGUCCGGCUUGGGGCCGGAAGACCCGAGGGGUACGUCCGGGGUAGGAGUGAAAUCCUGUAAUCCUGGACGGACCGCCGGUGGCGAAAGCGCCUCGGGAGGACGGACCCGACAGUGAGGGACGAAAGCCAGGGUCUCGAACCGGAUU
rnacentral:rRNA from 1 species